rnacentral:sRNA from 1 species
AGCACCCGGGGCGCCGCGUGGCGCGCCCGGGUAUCAGAACAGACACCGUGCCGGGGGAAGAAACCGGGCACAUCAGGGCGUU